rnacentral:piRNA from 1 species
CAAAAGAUAAUCAAAAGCAUGAAAGCAC